AUAGAUUUCACUUAAAAAUAUAGACGAACUUUUUUCCUUCUGAAAGGUCCCGGAUUAAAUAUUGACUUUAGGCCACCAAUCUUCUUGGACCGCCCCUGCUGUGAGUAUCUCUGCAAUGAACUCAUAAGAGCUUCCUGUAACCACACUAUAUCCAUAUACAGAAGCAGCAAGCUUUUUCCUAUCUUGCGUUGGAAUACAAACAAUGAUGAGUCUGCUUACUACAUUUGAAACCAAGAUGGAGUAGAUACACAUUAAACCUGUCAAACCAGGCCCUAGGUUCCUGCUUAAAAUCAUACAAUGCCCUUUUUAGAAGGCAUUUGAAUCAACGAAACCUGAGGACUAAGAGCCUGUUUGGUUUAGCUGAUUUAGAAUAGCGGAUAAGUAUUGGGUAUUGAAAAGCACUUAACUGUUGAAACUAAUUUAAAAAAUAAGCAGUUACAUGUUUGGAUAAAAGUGCUGAAGAAUUGGGUAUAUGAAGAGUUUUAUUUAAAAAAAAUUAUUUUAGGGAUAGAAUAAUAAAUAUUUUGGUCAAACCUCAAGUGCUUAUAAGCUGAAAUUUGAUAAGUUAGGGUAGACCAAUUAUGACUUUUGGCUUAGUUUUGGUUUAGAAGCCCUUAACUUCUAAGCACGUUUAAUUUUACCAAACGCAUAGAUAAGCCAAAAAGUAGUUAUAAGCCAGUUUGACCGACUUAUAAGCUUAGCCAAACACCUUUUAGAUCAUGUAGACUUGCUCCUACAAGUUAUCUGAUAGGCCAGUGUGAAGUGAUUGCAACCGAG
rnacentral:lncRNA from 1 species